CAGCAGCCACGGGAAUACGUAGGGUGCGAGCGUUAAUCGGAAUUACUGGGCGUAAAGCGUGCGCAGGCGGUUCGUUAAGACAGAUGUGAAAUCCCCGGGCUUAACCUGGGAACUGCAUUUGUGACUGGCGAGCUAGAGUAUGGCAGAGGGGGGUAGAAUUCCACGUGUAGCAGUGAAAUGCGUAGAGAUGUGGAGGAAUACCGAUGGCGAAGGCAGCCCCCUGGGCCAAUACUGACGCUCAUGCACGAAAGCGUGGGGAGCAAACAGGAUUAGAUACCCCCGUAGUCCCUGUCUCUUAUAC
rnacentral:rRNA from 1 species